rnacentral:rRNA from 1 species
UACGGAGGAUGCAAGCGUUAUCCGGAAUGAUUGGGCGUAAAGGGUCCGCAGGUGGCAAUGUGUGUCUGCUGUCAAAGAAUGAGGCUUAACCUCAUCAAGGCAGUGGAAACUACAUAGCUAGAGUAAGGUAGGGGUAGAGGGAAUUCCUGGUGUAGCGGUGAAAUGCGUAGAGAUCAGGAAGAACACCGGUGGCGAAAGCGCUCUGCUGGACCUUAACUGACACUGAGGGACGAAAGCUAGGGGAGCGAAUGGG